CUGCUCUGCGUGCCUCGGCACGAGCCACAGCAGCCCUCCUGCUCAGCCCAUCCUCACUGAUGGCGGGAGGCACGGGGGUCCCAGCCCCAUUGGUGGCCAGAGCCCAACAUCCUACAGCGUGUGGAUGAGCUGGCACAUCCCUCGUUGCACGGUGAAAACCCAAGGGAAUAAAGCAGAACUGUUUGGAGCGUUUUCCUGGUAUUCUCAGGAUAUCCGUGCUCCGUGCUUGAAAGUGAGGUUUGCUGUUCUAUUUUUCUCAAUCAGAUAAUGGAAAAUGCUGCUUCUACCUCAGGUCAGCUCGGCGCUCGUGGGAAGAUCAUUAAUUCCAAGCUAUAACCACAGCUAAAAAAUAUAUCGCUCCUUAGACCUCCGCUUCAUUGCCCAAAUAACAAAUGGCAACGCAGAGGCGUGCAGCAGGGUGACUGUGCCGAGGUGGGAUGCAAACCUGCUUGCUCAGCCGGGUUCCAGCAGCAGCAGAGCUGUGGGAAAGCAGCCUGUGGUCUAACAGAACCGACACAGCCUUACUGCCUCUUCCCUUAUCGGUUGCUUUAUUUGAAGUCGUUUCCUUGGCUGCUCUCACGCUGUCCCCUCCUCGGCUCUGCUGCAGCAACAGUGGGGCGUGGGGGCGCAGCCCUCUGCGUGUGUGGGUUUGGAUCCUGGUCAGCGUGAUUUGCGUUUGUAGGGGUGAGAUCGAUAGAGCCUUUUUGUAAAUUGGUGGUGGGAAGCAUAAUGAACAGUGUUAGGGAUUCAGUUAAUGGUGUUGGUUGAGAAUCCUAAAGAACCUGAUUUGUGGGGUGGCUUUGAACUGCAGCUUUGGCUCGAUCAGGUGGAGGCAGCAAACGAGACGCUGUCAUUUGGCUAUAGAUGGAAAUAUGGAUUAACUUGGAGAAAGCAACUGUGUGUGAAGUGUAUGUGUGAUGCUGUCUGCGCAGAGGGCAUGGAGAUGAGUGACCCCAGACAUGACGGAGGGUGUCCAGAGAAGGGCCACAAAACUGACCCAAGGGAUGGAACACCUCCCCUACCAGGACAGGCUGAGAGAAGGGCUGUGCAGCACGGAGAGGAGGAGGCUCUGGGGACAGAGGGAAGUGAUCUUCCAGUGUCUAAAGGGGCUGUAAGAAAGAAGGGAAGGACUCUUCAGCAGGAUCUGUUGUGAUAGGACAAGGGGAAAUGGUUUCAAACUCAAGAGGGGAGAUUUGGGUUGGAUAUGAGGAAGUUUUACACUGAGAGCAGUGAGGCACUGCACAGGGUGCCCAGAGAGGUGGUGGUGCCCCAUCCCUGCAGACAGCCACGGUCAGGGGAUGGGGCUGUGAGCACUGAUGGAGCUGUGGGUGUCCCCGUGCACAGAAAACCUUUCAUUUAUGUUGUGCAUGCUGUAAAUGGUGCUUUUGGUUGGUGCUGGCCCUGUAGCAAGCGAUGUUUGCAGGAGGCCUUGGGGUACUUGUGCAGUGCAAAGCAGAGUCCAGGCUGCAUGCACUGCUUCUGCAAGUGAGCAGGGAGCAGUGAGCCUGGCCAGCGGGUGGAAGGACUUUGUGUGGCAGGCUGCCUAUGGAUCAUGCGUGCAGCCCACAAUUGUUGAAAAUUAGCUUCCUAGCAUUGCUGGAUUUAGGAAAUAUUUGUGGUUUACUUCAAUGAUUAUGCAGUAAUUCACUUGAACUGAACUUUAACAUAUGUAAAGGCAGAGCUAGGGAAGACCCAGCGGGUGCCUGUGGACUCCUGAAGUGUCUCCAUGCUGGGACUGUUUGAGUCCUCGCUGCUGCCCAUGGAGCUGGUGCCCCAGGGGGGUGUCCUCUCACUCUCUGCAGUGCCUGGCUUGGGGCUGUGCAGGUGUCGAACUGGGACUUGUGGGGAGCAGGGCCUGUGCCCCCCCUUUGAGCACCCUGAGGUUCCUUCCGUGUGCGCAUUGCGCUGUUGUGGAUGCAGGAUGGAAAGCCGGAGUGUGCUGCUCCUCUUGCUGGGUUGCAGCAGUGCUCUGCAGGGAGGCACCUGCCUGCCUGGGCUGGGGGGUGAGCAGCAGUGGUGCCAGCACAGCAGCCCCGUGCUUCUGCCUGCUUUGGUGCCUCUGUGUCCAGCUCAGGAGGUGGCUCGGCUGCUGGGCCCGAGGCUGUCUCCUGCUGUCCCCCACGGUUUAUUGGUGCCACAGCUUGGCUCUGCUUCCCCAUAGAGGGAGGGCAGCGCGGUGGUGGGGCUUUGCCCAUCUCUCACCCAUUCUUUUGAAGCACGGUGGGGGGCAGUCCUCGUUGCCUCCACGCAGCCGCCUGCUGGGGCUGGAUGUGACAUCUGGCUGGUGCUGCGAGGCCACCAGGACUGCCGAGCUCUUUCUCUGCAGCUCAUUCUCCUGGGGCACAAAUUCCAAGUCUUCAAGCGCUUAAUAAACUGUGUAACAAUGGCUUAAAAGAAGUCAGUGAACACAGUGGCAUCCCAGGGAGGUGGCAGAGAGCUGGAGGAGGAGAACCUGCAAGAUGCACAGGAGGUGCCUGCAAAAAAGGGAGCUGGCUUCGGGGUCUCUGAGUGGGUGCCACCACCCUGUUAUUUGCUCAUUGCCAACUGAGCACGUUUAGCAGAGCUCUUGGUGCCAGCAGUUCAUAAUCCUGGAGUAGGCUGGGAAGCAGAACCUGGGGUUUUGAUUUAUUUGCAUGCUACAAACCAAAGGGAAGGGAUGCAUUUGUGUGUGCUUUCUGGCUGAAGCAGGAUAGGGAAGUUGGGGAAUAAAUAAUGUGAUGACACCGGGACUUAUACGCUUGUUCAGCUGCAUUGAUUGCAUUCAAAGGGUCUCACAGUUCUAUCGAUCUGGGCCUGUCUUCUACCUGCAGAGCUGGGGGAGCAGGAGGGCCAGUCCCCAAUGCGUGAGCGCCUGUAUGACGUUACAGCCCGGCCUCGUGCUGCUUUACAAACAGCUGCUCAGCAGCUCAAGGGUAUUUGCUCAGGUGCCAGUGCAGGGGAAGAGUAUCCCCAAAGGGCCGUGCAGUUAAUCCUUGCUAGCUGCCCGUUAUGGAUGGCAGAGCAAGAACCUCCGUAUCUGUUUAUAUACUUUAAUUACUCCAUUGUAAACAAGCCAAUGCUCAGGCUGAACUAGCAAUAAAUAAUAAAAGCCACCGACACCCCCAGCCUGGCCUUUUCCACCAGCCCCUCUCCCGCUGCAGCACCGUGCCCCUAUAACGAGGCAGGCUGUGAUCCCAGCACUCCCCAACCCUCCUGGCCGACCCUGGGCUCUGCGGGCCAACCUUGUUAAAAUGAAUCACAUUUGGCAUAUCUCCCCGUGGUGCCUCUCCAGAUAAAAGUGGUCCCAGCUCGCACGCUCUAUUUUUUGUUUUGUUUCUGCAUGUGACAAUUUUCUCCAUACAAAACCCCCUUUUGUCAUUUUGAAGAAGAGAUUAUGGGGGAAACAAGAGCCCGCCUUCUUUAUUUCCAUCUUGUGCUUUCUCAUGGCUCCACCACCGGCAUUGUUUGUGGCCAAGGAACAAUGAGAUUUGUCUGUUCCCAUAUCUGAUGUGAUUAAAGGAGCUGCGGAGCAGAAGUUACGCUGAAGAUUAUAAUGAACAGAGGAGACUUUGCUACACUGGAUGCGAAACACAAGGGGAGAUUCUGGCCCUGGAAUUGCUUCCUAUAAAGCAAAGCCCCCCUUUUUUUUUUUCCUGAUCUGCAGAGGAGUCUGAGGUUGUUCUCUCAGAGAAGGCUGUAAGUGGGCACAGUGCCUUCCUCCUGCCCAGGAGUGCCCUGUGUUGGCCUGGGAGCGAUCCCACUGUGAUGGACUGCAGUGGGAUGAACGCAUGGAGAUCAAAUGUUGUGCU
ensembl:lncRNA